UAUCAGUUCGCAUAGCUCCAAGUAUGCUUU
rnacentral:piRNA from 1 species